CUUCUGGCAUCACUGCCCUGAUAGAGUAAGGCGAUAGCAGCGUGGUUGGUCCCCUGCCUGUGGGCUCAUUUUGGAUACCUUUUGGAUGACUGCAUAUGAUAGACUGUACAGUACUUUUAACCCAUUUGUCCUUGUACAGGGUUCCACAUUGGAAAUCAGUCAUUGAAAAUCCUGGGGAAAAGUUGUCCAGGAAAGUCAUGGAAAAUUGGUCUAAGGAAAACUAAUGGAAAUCAAGAUCAUACAAGAGUGACUCUGAUAGUGGUUAUGGAUUGUGGUAAUGGCAUGCAGACUUCUUGUUUAUUAAACCAAACAAAUUUUCUGCGCAGAGUGGCAUUAUAUGCCAUGGAAAUUGUCAUACUACAGGAAAGGUCACUGAAUUUGAUUUUUAUAUUUUGUAGGAACCUUGCUUGUAACAAUCACAGCCCAAUUUCUCGGCGCUGUUUAGCACGCGAUUUCAGGUUACAGAGGCUCGGUGUAUUUCAUGCAUACUGUAAACAAUUUGGGAAGGCCUCAUUGCCAGGUGAAUCUACUGCCAUGUCUGCCUACACGAACAUGGAGGCCGGUUAGCGUCAUGGUGUGAGUGGACUGAACGAUGAAAUCUCCAAAGUGAAGGGGCAGGUUACGUCAUAAGUAGCACAGACCAAAGCUGUGGGUAUGCCCCUGGAGAAGCAGAC